rnacentral:rRNA from 1 species
UACAGGGGGGUGCAAACGUUGCUCGGAAUCAUUGGGCGUAAAGCGCACGUAGGCGGUUCGUUAUGUCGGAUGUGAAAGCCCUUGGCUUAACCGAGGAAGUGUAUCCGAAAACUGGCGAGCUAGAGUACGAAAGAGGAUCGCGGAAUUCCCGGUGUAGAGGUGAAAUUCGUAGAUAUCGGGAGGAACACCGGUGGCGAAGGCGGCGAUCUGGGUCGAUACUGACGCUGAGGUGCGAAAGCGUGGGGGAGCAAACAGG